AGCGAACGCUGGCGGCAGGCCUAACACAUGCAAGUCGAACGAAGUCUUCGGACUUAGUGGCGGACGGGUGAGUAACACGUGGGAACGUGCCUUUAGGUUCGGAAUAACUCAGGGAAACUUGUGCUAAUACCGAAUGUGCCCUUCGGGGGAAAGAUUUAUCGCCUUUAGAGCGGCCCGCGUCUGAUUAGCUAGUUGGUGAGGUAAAGGCUCACCAAGGCUACGAUCAGUAGCUGGUCUGGGAGGAUGACCAGCCACAUUGGGACUGAGACACGGCCCAAACUCCUACGGGAGGCAGCAGUGGGGAAUCUUGCGCAAUGGGCGAAAGCCUGACGCAGCCAGGCCGCGUGGAUGAUGAAGGUCUUAGGAUUGUAAAAUCCUUUCACCGGUGAAGAUAAUGACUGUAGCCGGAGAAGAAGCCCCGGCUAACUUCGUGCCAGCCGCCGCGGUAAUAC
rnacentral:rRNA from 1 species